UACGGAGCCAGCAAGCAUAAAAGUUUGGCAGGGCCCGAGAUAGUCUAUCUGGUCUUCUAAAGGCACCUUGCGCGGCCUGGGGCACAUUUGUCCAAAAAAGAGGGAGGGGGCCAGCCUAGCUAACUGCUUUUUACGGGCUUUACAAAGGAGAGCUCCUAUCAGGUGCGUAUCAGUGUUUGAGGCAGAAAAGAGCCUGCCUUCCUCUUCUCAAAGCAAACCCAGACAAAAAAGGGAGGGAGAGGGUGGGGGGAAUAUUCCAGCAAGUCCAUCCCUCCAGCUCCGAAUCCCAUUCUGGCGCCCCCCAACCCGCUUUCUACAAGAGCCUGUGAAAUGCUAAAUGAUUGCCCAGUGAGGCUAUGAGUGGCCGCAGAGCGGGAGAUGUGGAACGCCGGUGUCCUUUGCAGCUGGAUAACAGGGAGGAGAAUCAAAUCAUAUCUUUUUCCCUCCUCCUCCCAGGGCAUUUCCACCCUCUGCACACUAGGUUCUAUCCUCCCAGUGAGCUCCAUCCUUUGAAAUGCAAUGUUUGGGGUUUUGUUUUGUUUUUUUAAUCCUCUGUUUGUUUGUGCCUCACCCCAGCCCCGCUCCCCGAGUUUGAAAACCUGAGAUUUCUCUCUUUCCUUCAACCCCUUUCUUGCUACAGAGAUUUUACUUUGGGGACAGAUGUUUUAUUUCAUUUUUCCAUGUUCAAUGUUUUCUCAAGGUCUAUGUUCAAGAAAAUAAACUAUUUAAUUUGACGUGUAAAGUCUACAAUCCUAUGAACAUUUGGGAGUCAGUAAUUAAGAAUGGGACUUACUUACUUCACAUUUACUUCAAAUAAAUGUGAAGGGAAUUUUGCUAUAUAAAUUUACCUAACAGAAAUCAUUGAAGUAUAAAUGUUUUUCAUUGUGGCUGGAUCAUGCCCAGAUCAAGCUUGAGAGGGAGGUUUUGACUUUGUAAAUACUGAGAUAUUAUGACAUCACUUGACCUACCUGAGUAAUCAGUUAAAUGCACAAGUUAACUUACUUUAUUUUGUUUGUUUGUGUUAAGGUCUUAUUUUACUUGUUUCCUGGCUGUGGAUCAGUUUCCCAUUUGCUAUUUCUACUCUGGUUUAUUACUAUCGAGGAACUGCUGAAAAUGAGCUAAUAAAAGCUCCGUCACAAGAUCAUGAUGUCUGUUAACAUUAACAUUCCUGCAGCCAAGUUAAACAUACAAGUACUUUAUUCAGAAGUAUUAUGUAUUUGGGAGAACCUGAAAACAUGAACUCUACAAACUGCAAUAUUAAGCAUGGUUUCCUUUGGAAAUAUAAUGUCAGAGCUUCACCACCAUUUCCAAAGACUAUACUAAUAAUAGGAUAUUACUUCUGUU